CAGCAGCCGCGGUAAUACGGAGGAUCCAAGCGUUAUCCGGAAUCAUUGGGUUUAAAGGGUCCGUAGGCGGUCUUGUAAGUCAGUGGUGAAAGCCCAUCGCUCAACGGUGGAACGGCCAUUGAUACUGCAGGACUUGAAUUAUUGGGAAGUAACUAGAAUAUGUAGUGUAGCGGUGAAAUGCUUAGAGAUUACAUGGAAUACCAAUUGCGAAGGCAGGUUACUACCAAUUGAUUGACGCUGAUGGACGAAAGCGUGGGUAGCGAACAGGAUUAGAUACCCGCGUAGUCCUGUCUCUUAUACA
rnacentral:rRNA from 1 species